rnacentral:rRNA from 1 species
ACGCGACCCCAGUUCAGGCGGGGCUACCCGCUGAG